UACGUAGGGUGCGAGCGUUAAUCGGAAUUACUGGGCGUAAAGCGUGCGCAGGCGGUUUGCUAAGACCGAUGUGAAAUCCCCGGGCUCAACCUGGGAACUGCAUCUGUGACUGCAUCGCUGGAGUGCGGCAGAGGGGGAUGGAAUUCCGGCGUGGUAGCAGUGAAAUGCGUAGAUAUGCGGAGGAACACCGAUGGCGAAGGCAAUCCCCUGGGCCUGCACUGACGCUCCAUGCACGAAAGCGUGGGGAGCAAACAGGA
rnacentral:rRNA from 1 species